CCUCCUACGGGAGGCAGCAGUGAGGAAUAUUGGUCAAUGGUCGGGAGACUGAACCAGCCAAGCCGCGUGAGGGAUGAAGGUACAGAGUAUCGUAAACCUCUUUUGUCAGGGAACAAAGGCGGGGACGUGUCCCCGGAUGAGUGCACCUGAAGAAAAAGCAUCGGCUAACUCCGUGCCAGCAGCCGCGGUAAUACGGAGGAUGCGGGCGUUAUCCGGAUUUAUUGGGUUUAAAGGGUGCGCAGGCGGAAGCGCAAGUCAGCGGUAAAAUUGAGAGG
rnacentral:rRNA from 1 species